AUGGCCUCUACCACUAGCAGUAGCAGCACGACGAGCAGCAGCCAGAAGCUGCGUGUCCUGCUCAUCCCCUUCUUCGCGACCAGCCACAUCGAGCCCUUCACCGACCUCGCCCUGCGCCUGGCCGCGGCGGCUGACCCCGGCGCCGCCGUAGAGGCGACCGUCGCCGUCACGCCGGCGAACGUCCCCAUCGUCCGCUCCUUGCUCGAGAGGCGUACGCAUGACGCAGCCGGAUCUGAGGGCACGCCCGUCAAGAUAGCGACGUACCCGUUCCCGGCCGUGGACGGCCUCCCGGGGGGCGUCGAGAACCUCGGCAAGGCCGCCCCCGCCGACUCGUGGCGCAUCGACGCCGCCGCCGUCAGCGACGCCCUGAUGCGCCCCGCGCAGGAGGCGCUCAUCAGGGAGCAGUCCCCGGACGCGCUCGUCACCGACCUGCACUUCGUCUGGAACGUCCGCGUCGCCGAGGAGCUUGGCGUGCCGUGCGUCAGGUUCAGCGUCAUCGGCGCCUUCUCGUCGCUCGCCAUGCGCCACCUCGAGCUCCUUGCCCCGGACGUCGCCGGCGGCGACCCCGACCCCGACGUCGUCGCCGUGGUCCCUCGGUUUCCGGGCCCUCCGUUACGGAUACCGAGGACCGAGCUGCCGGAGUUCCUGAGGAGGAAAAAGGAGGUCGAUUGCUCCACGACAAACCCCUUCUACGCGGCGCAAGCCGACUGCUUCGGCCUCGCCAUCAACACAUUCUCGGACCUGGAGCAACACUACAGCGAGAUGAACAUGCGCGAAGGCUACGUGAAGCGCGCCUACUUCCUAGGGCCUGUCUCGCCGCGGCCAUCACCGGCAGCCGUGGGCGCCGGCGGCGGCGGUGGCUGCAUCGACUGGCUUGACUCGAAACCAGGCCGCUCGGUGGUGUACGUGUGCUUCGGCAGCUUCGCGCCCGUCUCGGACGCCCAGCUGCGCGAGCUGGCUCUCGGGCUGGAGGCCUCGGGAAGGCCGUUCCUGUGGGUGGUGAGGGCGGAGAAGUGGACUCCGCCGGAGGGAUGGGAGGAGCGUGUCGAAGACAGGGGGCUGAUGGUCACCACCUGGGCCCCGCAGACGGCUAUACUGGGGCACCAGGCGGUGGGCGCGUUCGUGACCCACUGCGGGUGGAACUCGGUGCUGGAGACGGUGGCGGCGGGCGUGCCGGUGCUGACAUGGCCGCUGGUGUUCGAGCAGUUCAUCACCGAGAAGCUGGUCACGGAGGUCCUCGGGAUCGGGGAGCGGCUGUGGCCUCAUGGCGCCGGCGUACGAAGCACGAGCUGUACAGAACACGAGCUAGUCCCCGCCGAAGCUGUGGCGCGGGCAGUGACCGCGUUCAUGGCCCCUGGAGGACCAGCGGACGCGGCGAGGGGCAGGGUGAUGGACCUCGCCGCAAAGGCUCACGCAGCCAUGGCGGAAGGAGGCUCAUCGCACCGUGAUCUGCGGCGUCUGGUCGAUGAUCUCGUGGAAGCAAGAAGUGCCGCUGGAGCGACCAAUUAA
rnacentral:rRNA from 1 species